GUAGGUGGCAAGCGUUGUCCGGAAUUAUUGGGCGUAAAGCGCGCGCAGGCGGUCCUUUAAGUCUGAUGUGAAAGCCCACGGCUCAACCGUGGAGGGUCAUUGGAAACUGGGGGACUUGAGUACAGAAGAGGAAAGCGGAAUUCCAAGUGUAGCGGUGAAAUGCGUAGAGAUUUGGAGGAACACCAGUGGCGAAGGCGGCUUUCUGGUCUGUAACUGACGCUGAGGCGCGAAAGCGUGGGGAGCAAACAGGGAUUAGAUACCCUGGUAGUCCACGCCGCAAACGAUGAGUGCUAAGUGUUAGGGGGUUUCCGCCCCCUUAGUGCUGCAGCUAACGCAUUAAGCACUCCGCCUGGGGAUACGGCCGCAAGGCUG
rnacentral:rRNA from 1 species